GAGGUUGUCUGACAGGGGAGAUACCAUGAUCAUAAAGGUAGUUUUCUCAGGGUGAGGCUCAUCCAUUGCACUGCGGGUGUGCUGACCCCUGUGAUGUCCCCAAAUGCGGGAAACUCGACUGCAGAAUUCUUGUAAGAACAGGUGGGACAAACACCUGUC